rnacentral:rRNA from 1 species
UACGUAGGGGGCAAGCGUUGUCCGGAUUUAUUGGGCGUAAAGAGCGUGUAGGCGGCCAUGUAGGUCCGUUGUGAAAACUCGAGGCUCAACCUCGAGACGCCGAUGGAAACCAUGUGGCUAGAGUCCGGAAGAGGAGAGUGGAAUUCCUGGUGUAGCGGUGAAAUGCGCAGAUAUCAGGAAGAACACCCGUGGCGAAGGCGGCUCACUGGCCCGGUACUGACGCUGAGGUGCGAAAGCGUGGGGAGCAAGCAGG